rnacentral:lncRNA from 1 species
AGGCUGCCGGGGCGCAGAGUAGCGCCGGGCCGGGCUGGGCGAGCGCACGGCCAUGGCCCCGUGGUUGCAGCUCUGUUCUGUCUUCUUCACCGUCAACGCCUGCCUCAACGGCUCGCAAUUGGCCGUGGCCGCAGGUGGCUCCAGCAGAGCUCGGGGCGGCGACACCUGCGGCUGGAGGGUAAGAAAAGGACAGCGAGAAAGUUUCUCACUGUCCCUCAAAGAGCGGGGGCACAGGUGCUCGCGGGCAGUGGAGCCCGCGCGGACUUGCCUGCUCUCCGCGGAGUAUUCGGCGGGGUUGGGAUCCUGGCUGCUCCCGCCCUCCUGCCUCCCUCACGGGGCGCGCGUCUGCCUGCCCCGGCUGGGAUGAAAGAGGCCGCUAGACCCCCGGCUUUGUGUUGCUAAUGAGGCGCUGCCACCGACCGGGGUCCGGCUCCCGGAGGGCGGGCUAGAGGGGCGCCCGGCGGCGGGCUAGGGGAGAGCGCCCCACCCUUUGUUCCGGGCCCGGGGCAGUGCGCCCCAGGGCUGGGAUCCUUAGAGCUGUCCGGAUGGCGGGGAGAACGCUUCGGAGCGGGAGUGGAGGGUUUUCCUCGACCUCCGGUCCAUAGCUCUGCAAAGGCCCGGGACUGCCAGGGAGGGGCCCCUGAGUUUGGGGAGGAGUGCGUCUCCCUUUCGGGACCGCUUUGUUCCUUCUUGGUUGGGUCGCCUUACCCCACUUUUCACCCCACCGUCGGCUCCUGUCUUGCUGGUAAAUUUUGCUCCGUUGUUCAGCCCUUUGCUUAAAGAAAGGUCUCCAGGGCUGGGGCCACUGUAGGACCGUGAGACUGCAUCCGUCUGUCCGACCCCCUCCCAUCCAAGCCAGGGCCAGCCUUCAGCUUUGUGGGGAGGACACCGGCUUUUCACUCAGGCAGCCACAGACAUGCCCUUGGCUCUUCUUCUGGGCAGCCAUGAUCCUCAGUUUCUUCACCUGGAAAAUGGGAAUAGAGAUUUCCCAGUAUCCCCUAGCACUGCUGCUCUGAGGGAUGGGUAUGGGGGUGGUUUGCUUAGAGCAACAUCCACCCACCUCUUGUGAGGUGCUCUGAACUGUCUCAAGAAGUCAAGGCCUAGAUCCCCUUUCUGGGUACAGGCUGGUGCUUCCAGCUCACUUUCUUCCCAUUGAGAAACAGUGCAGAAAACCAGGUAUGAGCCAGGCAGCUGGAAUGUCUUCAAACCCAGUAGCUGCACAAUAGACAGCUUAACCCACCCUCCCACCAACCCCAUAGAGAGUUUAAUGUACAAUAAUAAUAUAUAUAAACAUCCUUCCUAUUUGAGUGUAACAUCGCAUUUUCUUACUCUGUCCCAUUUUAGUAAAAUACCACUUUUUUUUUAAACCUGGAUACCAAAUUUUCCUCUUUUUAAUUUUUUCUUUUUUUGGCCACCCCAUGGCAUAUGGAGUUCCCAAGCCAGGGAUCAGCUACAAACCACAGUUUCGACCUAUGCCACCACUGUGGCAACUCCAGAUCCUUUAACUCACUGUGUGGGCUGGGAUUGAACCUGCAUCCUGGCGAUGCAGAGAUGCCUCCGAUCCCAUUGCUCCACAGGGGAAACUCCCCCUUCCCAUUUUUUUGGUCAUGCCCAUGUAGCAUGGGGAAGUUCCCAGUCCAGGUAGCCAACCCAUGCUACAGCAGUGACCAGAGGCACUGCAGUGACAAUACCAGAUCCUUAACCUGCUGCCCCACAAGAGAACUACCAAGUUUUUCUUUUUUUAGAUCAAAAAAUGUUUCUUAAGUCUAUCCCAUGUUGAUUUAUCAAUCUUCCUACAUUUUUUGGAUCUAAACUGAUAUGAUGGCUUUUGAAUAACAGCAUCACAGGUAUUUUAUUUUGAAUUUUCAUAUGAUAGUGUACAUGGAUCAGUCCAAUUUGCUGUGUGUGUGUGGGGUGGGUUGCAAUUGCCUAGGUGUCUUCACAAAACUUUGUGAAGUUUUAAUGCUGUGAGUAUAGCAGGGCCCCAAAGGAGCCAAUCUUGUGGCUUUGUGCUUUCUGUGAGAAUGAGUUCUCCCAUAAACCUACAGCCCCACAGACUUAAUGGUGGCCCUCACCCAGAGUCUUCAUAUUCAUGCUGGGGGUGACCUCAACAGCUCCUUCCUUGGGGAUAUCUUCACCUACUUUGUGAAUGAGCAUGGAAACCGCUGGACCACCUCCUGGAUUGCAGGCUCUUCCCAACCUGUUACGUGGCUUCUUCUCUCCUGAACUUGCUUUUUGAUUGUGGAGCCACAGCUUGCCCUGACCCGCUAGCCCACCUGCCUUACAUACCCACCUUUCCAGCCUCAGCCCCUGCCCUACCCUGCUCCCUGUGCCCUUUAUGCUGCCUAGGCAUGCCUUUUCCUCCCUUGAGAACCCCCUGCUUGGCUUAAGACUCAGCUCAGGUGAUGCCUUCUCAGGGAAGCCCUUUCUGAAUGCCAUUCCUUUUGCUUUGCCUCCUCAUGCAGUUCCCUGCACUUUAGUUCUCACCCAACUACAUCAUCAGUAUUUGUUCACAUCUGUGUCUUCAGGCUAGUUUCUUUAGCUGGGUAGCUGGGCACUUAACCUCAUGUUGGUGGGCUCAGAGCCUGGAGCCCUGUAAAUCUUGGCUGAACCCAAUUAGACCCUGCAGACUUCCUGCUAAAUCCUAUAUUAAGUGAUAGAUUUUUAAGGAGGGGGGGGCGUAUGUGUUGCGGUCAGAGCACCGAGCUCCAAUGUCUUCUGUGCAGUGGGCGGGCUUUUUGUAUGUGCUGAUACUGCCUGUGUUCCUUCUCUUUACACCUCAGCCUCCCCUCUCACCUCCAGCAUCACUUCCUGCAGGAAGGCAUCUCUGUCUCCAUCUCCCUAGGGAAGUUUUUCCAGAAGUUGCUGUCAGAGGGCUGGCCAGUACUGGGGCACUGCUACUUGGAUAUUUGAGUCAUGUCUGAGUCCCCUACCAGAUAGCGGGUGUUGAGCCCAUAGAUCUUGGUCUCAGUUCUGAAGUUGCUUAGAGUCUAGUUGGGGCUCUGCUAACAUAUAAGAUUUAAGGGUCGAUUAUGUGUGAUGAAAACAGGAGAGGGCUUGUUAUGGAUCUUGAUCACACAGAACCCAGAGAGGAGGCACAGUGGGAUAGGGAAGUGAGUCCUGAAGGAGGGGCAGGAGCUUGGUUCUGGAGAGGAGCUGAGCAAUUGACCCCCUUGCUCUCCAGGGAGCAUUUGUUCCAGAAACUCUUGCCCCUGCAGGAAUGUGUAUUUUCCCAGGACUUGAAAGGUGAUUGGAGCCAGCUAACCCUCAGCAGCUGUAACCCUCCCUUCGGGACUGCUCUUGGAGGAGCCGGCAUGGUUUAAGCGGUCAGAUUUCACAACCUCCCCAUUAUUAGUGGGGCAAUUAAGGGGCUGAUACCAUCUUGAACACAGGGCAGUGUUUUAGAAAUGAGUUGUGGGCACACUUCCUCAACUACUUUAUAAAAAGUAUCCUAGGGCCUUUGCCAGGCAGAGUUGCUUUUUAAGUAAUAAGUACAGUUUUCCUGAAGAAGUAACAAAUUGUAAAACUUCCAGAGGAACCCCCUCACCCCUCCGCCCAGCCCAUCCUCAUUUAUGCUGAGUCUUAACUGCUUGCUUCUUGGAUGUUGAAUUGUUUUGUUUGUGAUGGGUAACUUUGUAUCAAUUACUUGCUCUGAGGGUUUUGUUUUGUUUUGUUUUGUUUUUGUUCUGUUUUCCUCUUGCUUUACUGGUUGUUUGAGAAGCUUCUUUAUGGAAUAAGGGAUUAGGAAUCUCUUCCCACAGGUUUUUAUUUAGUGGCUUUUCCUGUAGGGGAGGAGGAGGAGGGAGCAUUUCUUGCCUUCUUACCUAAAUGGGAUAUACCUUCCCUACUCUCUUAUCCCUGAAACACAAUUCCCAUUCCCCCCAAAGGUCUGCUCCUUCAGGAAUGCAGGAAGUCAGAAUGUUGGCAUCAUCUUUACAGUGAAGUGCAAGUUUCCCAUUUAAGGUAAAUGCUUCAUCCCAAAAGGUAGGAAGGAAUAGGGUGGUACUUGGAAAAGAAGAGGUUCCAGCUGAUUAAAAUUUAGGUUCCUGAUAAAAGUCCAAUCCAAGAGCUCCCUUUGGCUGUGGGCCCAGGCAUGUUUAUUUGAUUCUGAAUUGGAUGUGUUUUCAUUCACUUGCAGCUCGUGGCUCUCAAGCCCGCAUCUGGUCUGCUUGUCCUGGAUCCCUGUUACACAUGCUCUUGUGUCUCUUACAGAAUUCUUGGUUAAAAUGACUCAGCCCUGGUUGACACAUUUUCAGAGAGACAUUUUUAUAAGAAGUGUGAUGCUUUCUUCCAGCCUGUGCUGCCUUGUUAAUUGGGAAUCCUCUGGCCCACGGUCUUUUUUGAGCAGCUCUCCCUUCUCUCCCUACCUCCAUCCAAUGGACCCAGAACCCCUGCAGUGCCUGGGGCUGUUGUACUAGUUAUUAACUUGGGGAUACCGCUGGGUGAAUGAGACCAGCAACUGAGUGUCGGAUGCAGCACCAUUUCCUUCCAAGCAUGGUUUCUCAAAGUGAGGUUCAGGGGCUGCCAGGAUUGGGAUUGCCUUGGGAGCUGGUUAAAAUGUAGAUUCAAGGCCAGGAGGACCACAAAUUGACAUUUUAACAAGUUCCUCUGAUGCUCUCAAUGGUGAGAGUCAUUGCUUUAAGAUACAGGUCUUCUGUGAUCGUAAGAAAGGGGCAAGAAGCUUCAUUUUAAACAUUUAAAAUCAGAGUUUGACUUUAAAUUACCUCUCUGGACUUUGUGCAUGGAAAGUGGAGACUUUGACCUCUGAAAAAUGUCAGGGGUGAGGCUGGUUGAGGCAGCUCUUGGGGAGCCAGCCAGUUGGGGUGGGUGCCUUGAGCCUGGGGUUAAAAGAGGAGGCUGGAGGUGAAGAGGGCUCAAAGCUUCCACUGGGUUCCUCCCCAGAACAGCUGGGCCUGUCUGGAAAACAGUCUCAGGAAAGAGUAGAAUAGGAUCCAAAUCAUAUUCUCAGCCAUUCAAACCCUACAGACGGCUUUCCUACAAAGGAAAGAACUGCUCAUGCUUUUUUUUAAGUCUUUGAGUAUUUUUCAUGCUUUAUUUGGCCUAAAAUAUGUUAGGUUUUUUCUUUUCUUUUCUUUCUUUUUUUUAAACUUUGAGAUUCUUUUUCCCCCAUUGGUCCCUGAACUUUUCACAUACUGUGCCCCAGCAGAUGUCCGCUGCUGCUGCGGCCACCCCAUCAACAAUUAAUUGUUCCUUUCUUCCUCACUGCCUUUUGCGUUGCCUCUGAAGGAUGAGUUUUUAGGCUUCUGUAAGCUUGGCCCUACCUUCGAUUUGUAAGAGAAUAAGUUGAGGCCAUGGCUGAGGUACCUCCAGAACUUGACAGAGUGGGGGACAGUGCCCCUGGAGCAGAUCUCUUUGCUGCCACCAUUCUCUGGCAGCUAAGACCAUUUCUGUUUUACAUCUCUCCUGAAUUUGGAGGGUCUCUCUCUUGCCCUCAGCAAGCCCAAGGGGCCUGUCUGCCAGUGCCACAACCCCCGCCCCCCGCCCCCGCCCCAGGCAGCCUGACUUGUCUGGCUGGUGGGAGGCAAUGUCCUCCUGGGCAGUGUUUGUCUUGGCUGCUGGGACAUUCUGAAUGGGCCUGACACACCAUUAGGUGACUGAUGGCCCCCACAACACAUUGUCUCCUCCAGGGCCUGGGGCCUUUGAAGCUCUUCCCUGUGGGAAGUAAAGAGACUAUUUGCUCUAUUAAAAUGCCUUGGUAUUUCCUCUGUUUAACCACAGGCCACUUCCUCUCUGCCACUCUAAACCCGGCAGGGCCACCGGCUGAUUGAAAAGACACAGGCCUAGGAAUGAUCACAUCCUAUUGAAACAGAUAGUUUUACUGAAGAUUAAAGCUGGGGCAGGUCUUUAAGAAGAAACCAAAUCUAAGGGGAUUCCUUGGGAUGGCUCUUUAUCUUGCUCAAAAUUUAGCCUGUCGACACCACGCACACCUGAAGUCCUGAAUGCAUUUUUUUUUUUUUUUUUUUUUAAGGGGGGAAGCCUAAAUUGUAACCAAAUUAGUGUGUGUUUCAUGUACAUAUGGCAGGUUAAUUCGAUCAACUGAGUUUCUCAAUGUGUGAGUUGGAAGCCCUUCAGUGUCUGGAAUAGCAUGAUGGUCUGUUCAUAGAAAACCAAACUCAGCUCAUUCUCUGCUUGCAGAUUCUGUCUGGUCUCUUGUGCUCAGAAAGACCAAGUAAGAAGUUUGUAGCUUAAAUAAUACCCAGAAUAUAUCUGGGGAAACUGUUUCCCAUCCUUUCUCAAGCCUUCCCUUGGGAAAGUUUAAUUAAUAACACCAGGCAUGGAACUAAAAUCUGAACAAUUGAAAAACGACCUUAAGUAACAAAGACUGAAAUUUAAACUCAGUCUGUACCCUAUUUUUUUUUUUUUUUUGAAGGGGCCUAAAAAAAGUAAUAACUAGUUAGUCUCUAAUGAAGACUAUUACUUUAACAUUUGCAACUCCAUUGUUCAAAGCAUCCAUGAUAAAAACAGCUUUCCUUUUCUUUGGUUCCUUGUUUGGAAAUGUUGGGGGAAGGUGGAUGUAGCUAAUUAAGGCUACAACAUUUAAAGGGGGGCUUAAUAGGUACCAGCUGUCCUCAGCAAAUCACUGGGUGGAUGACAAAAUAAAGAUGUGAUGUGAACACACAUGUAAUUCUCUUCUGAAACGGAAGUUGGCCUAUAAAUUGUCUGAUUUAGUAGGGUAAAUCAAAACUAUCGCUACUAUGCACUUUUAAGAAGCAUUUGUUUUAUAGUAAACCUAAUGUAUUAUUUGCAUAAGGCUGGUACUUUAAAAGUGGAAAGGGCAGUAGAUGGCAGGUAUUGUUGGAAGUUUAAUAAAUUGUAAUUUUAUUGUAUAUUUCUUCAUUCCAAACCCGACCUAAUAGACAUUAGUCAUGAGGCUUUUCAUUAAAAUUACUACAUUGUAGGGGAGCUUGCUUGAACUUAACAGAAAUGCCUAUAAAAUUGAAGCAGUGACUUUGAAAAGAGAAUGGAAAUUGAUAGCACUAAUUAAAAAUGUUCAGAUGGGAGUUCUGGUUGUGGCUGGUGGUUAACGAACCAGACUAGUAUCCAUGAGGACGCGGGUUUGAUCCCUGGCCUUGCUCAGUGGGUUAAGGAUCCGGCGUUGCUCUGAGCUGUGGUGUAGGUUGCAGACUCGGCUUGGAUCUGGCAUUACUGUAGUUCUGGUAUAGACCGGCAGCUACAGCUCUGAUUUGACCCCUAGCCUGGGAACCUCCUUAUGCCGCAGGUGUGGCCCUAAAAAGCCAAAAAAAAAAAAAAAGAAGAAAAAAAA